rnacentral:rRNA from 1 species
GAUGAACGCUGGCGGCGUGCCUAAUACAUGCCAGUCGAGCGAACAGACGAGAGUGCUUGCACUCUCUGACGUUAGCGGCGGACGGGUGAGUAACACGUGGGUAACCUACCUAUAAGACUGGGAUAACUUCGGGAAACCGGAGCUAAUACCGGAUAAUAUUUAGCUUCGCAUGAAGCAAUAGUGAAAGACGGUUCUGCUGUCACUUAUAGAUGGACCCGCGGUGUAUUAGCUAGUUGGUGAGGUAACGGCUCACCAAGGCAACGAUACAUAGCCGACCUGAGAGGGUGAUCGGCCACACCGGGACUGAGACACGGCCCAGACUCCUACGGGAGGCAGCAGUAGGGAAUCUUCCGCAAUGGACGAAAGUCUGACGGAGCAAUGCCGCGUGAGUGAAGAAGGUUUUCGGUUCGUAAAACUCUGUUGUAAGGGAAGAACAAGUACGUUAGUAACUGAACGUACCUUGACGGUACCUUACCAGAAAGCCACGGCUAACUACGUG